CCUACGGGUGGCAGCAGUGAGGAAUAUUGGUCAAUGGGCGCGAGCCUGAACCAGCCAAGUCGCGUGAGGGAAGACGGUCCUAUGGAUUGUAAACCUCUUUUGUCGGGGAGCAAAAGACGCCACGCGUGGCGUUUCGAGUGUACCUGAAGAAAAAGCAUCGGCUAACUCCGUGCCAGCAGCCGCGGUAAUACGGAGGAUGCGAGCGUUAUCCGGAUUUAUUGGGUUUAAGGGGUGCGCAGGCGGAAGGUCAAGUCAGCGGUAAAAUUGUGGGGCUCAACCUCUUAGAGCCGUUGAAACUGGUUUUCUUGAGUGGGCGAGAAGUAUGCGGAAUGCGUGGUGUAGCGGUGAAAUGCAUAGAUAUCACGCAGAACUCCGAUUGCGAAGGCAGCAUACCGGCGCCCGACUGACGCUGAGGCACGAAAGCGUGGGGAUCGAACAGGAUUAGAUACCCCAGUAGUC
rnacentral:rRNA from 1 species